rnacentral:pre_miRNA from 9 species
UCUCGAUAGCGUAAAAGUUAACUCAUAUUUGUAUGGAGUUGGAACGUUUGCCUACGUUUGCCGCUAGGGGCGCUGUUCCAACUUCAUACAAAUUUGAGUUGACUUUUACGCUAUCGA